rnacentral:rRNA from 1 species
GUAGGUGGCAAGCGUUGUCCGGAAUUAUUGGGCGUAAAGCGCGCGCAGGCGGUUCUUUAAGUCUGAUGUGAAAGCCCACGGCUCAACCGUGGAGGGUCAUUGGAAACUGGAGAGCUUGAGUACAGAAGAGGAAAGCGGAAUUCCACGUGUAGCGGUGAAAUGCGUAGAGAUGUGGAGGAACACCAGUGGCGAAGGCGGCUUUCUGGUCUGUAACUGACGCUGAGGCGCGAAAGCGUGGGGGAGCAAACAGGAUUAGAUACCCUGGUAGUCCACGCCGUAAACGAUGAGUGCUAAGUGUUAGGGGGUUUCCGCCCCUUAGUGCUGCAGCUAACGCAUUAAGCACUCCGCCUGGGAGUACGGCCGCAAGGCUG